UCAGAAAGAUGCCCCAUAUUUAUCCUGUGC
rnacentral:piRNA from 1 species